AUUGAACGCUAGCGGGAUGCUUUACACAUGCAAGUCGAACGGCAGCACGAAAAGAGCUUGCUCUUUUUGGUGGCGAGUGGCGAACGGGUGAGUAAUGUAUCGGAACGUACCCAGUAGCGGGGGAUAACUACGCGAAAGCGUGGCUAAUACCGCAUACGCCCUACGGGGGAAAGGGGGGGAUCGCAAGACCUCUCACUAUUGGAGCGGCCGAUAUCGGAUUAGCUAGUUGGUGGGGUAAAGGCACACCAAGGCAACGAUCCGUAGCUGGUUUGAGAGGACGACCAGCCACACUGGGACUGAGACACGGCCCAGACUCCUACGGGAGGCAGCAGUGGGGAAUUUUGGACAAUGGGGGAAACCCUGAUCCAGCCAUCCCGCGUGUGCGAUGAAGGCCUUCGGGUUGUAAAGCACUUUUGGCAGGGAAGAAACGGCGCUGACUAAUACUUGGCGCAACUGACGGUACCUGCAGAAUAAGCACCGGCUAACUACGUG
rnacentral:rRNA from 1 species